AGCUUUGCGCAGUGACAGUAUCGUAGCCAAUGAGGUUUAUCCGAGGCGCGAUUAUUGCUAAUUGAAAACUUCAUAUAGGAAAAGAAUUGUAAGUAUAUACAUAUUUACUAUUAAAUUGAUUAUCUCUGAGUCUGGGAU